rnacentral:rRNA from 1 species
GUGGAUUAGAUACCCUGGUAGUCUUGGCCUUAAACGAUGUUCACUAGGUGUUGGGGGGUAACCCUCGGUGCCGCAGCUAACGCAUUAAGUGAACCGCCUGGGGACUACGGCCGCAAGGUUGAAACUCAAAGGAAUUGGCGGGGGACCGCACAAGCGGUGGAGCAUGUGGCUUAAUUCGAUGCAACGCGAAGAACCUUACCAGGGCUUGACAUGUAUCUGCAAGUCGCCGAAAAGCGAUCGCUUUCGAAGGUGAUACACAGGUGGUGCAUGGCUGUCGCCAACU